rnacentral:tRNA from 1 species
GCGGGAAUAGCUCAGUUGGUAGAGCACCUCCCUUACAAGGAGGGGGUCGGCGGUUCGAUCCCGUCAUCACCCACCA